CUUUCGCUGAUAGUGAGAAACAGCUUCUCUGCUUACGUUCGUCAUGACGCCAUGCUCACGUGUUUUUAAUGUAUAAAAAGAAUCAGUAGGCGACACGAAUUUUUAUUCGAUAUUGUUUCGUAUAUCAGAACCUAAGAUGCCCGCUUUAAGGAAUAUGGCAUUUAUUCUGCUCUUGCUGACUAUAAUUAACGGCGUACUUGGGACUGGACCACUAAUUGAUGGUGGAGGACUAUAUCCGCCAACAACUCCAAGCCCAAUAGAUGGUGGUGGGCUACCAAGCUGCGGCGAACCGUGCACCUCUACAGGAUCUUCAGACACCAAACCAUGCCCGCCAGGCUGCAUUUGUAAUACGAACUCUCCAGGUGAAACAGGUACAUGCAUUGUUGAGCCAUAGCACUGUCUUCAUGAGCUUCUAAAUAUAUUCAAAUAAAGUCGACGUAAAACGAAUGGCCUCACAGCAUCAUGUCUUUACAAUAAUCUACUUCAACCGGACUCACAAUGAAGACCGAAUAAAUUGAGCAUGCUUUUUUCUUGGCUGUGAAAUGUGUAAAAAAGCGUUAAAUAUACAAAGACUAGCAAUACAUGUAAGCAAAACUUAAUCAGGGUCCGUAUUCACAAAAAACAUUUAAGCUAUAGUUCGCAAGGAAAAAAGGAAUGCGCAGCUUGCACUAGUAGCGCAAGGCUGGAACCAGGGCUGGGCAGAGAUACCCGGAAAAGUAUUCCGGAAUGCAGAUAUCCAAAUACAUGGGUUUGAAGCCUAAAAUACAGAUACUGAGAUACAUUUUCCUUUACCCCAACGGGAUAUUUCAGAGAUAUUUUCGCAAUAAGACUAAAAAAGUAUUCUAGAAUACAGAUACAGCAAUACAGAUGCUGGAAUGCUGUUUUUAUUUCGGUGAUGCUC